rnacentral:lncRNA from 1 species
UAUCAAGUCUCAAGCUUCUAAGGGAACCAGCCAUUUAACCAUUUAUAAAACCUAAUUAAAUUCAACAAAUUGCGGGGUUUUUUUUUUGUCUUUGAUUUUUUAGAGUUGACUUAUCCCUCAAGGUACCCUUUGUUUUGCAAGUAGGAGAUGAUAUGUUCAGCCAUCUGACGUGGUGAACAAGAAUCGUCAUCUCCCGUGUGUUUCAGAACAACCUGUAAAAAAUAUACGAAGAUACAUCAAUACUAUUUUAGAAAUUUACGUAUCAAAUUCUUCGACUACAUCACGGAGAAUAAAUAUUACGAACCUCGCAGUUCAGUGGCGCCUCGUAAGGAUCAUCGAUUCCAGUAAAGCCUGAAUCAAGAAAAAAAAUCAGUAUUUAUCUUUUACUACUACUACUACUACAAUCUCAAAACCACAUCCAUUUUAUACCUAACAGCAAGUAUUUAAUAAUGUUAUUAUUCCCUCCGUUUGAAAUGUAAUACCUUUGAUUUUGCCGGCACGUGCGAGCUUGUACAACCCCUUUGGAUCUCUUGACUCGCACACAGACAGAGGAACAUCCAUGAAAACCUAACAACAAUUUAAUCAUACGUAAUAUGAUCAAUAUACUAUAUAUAUCGUCUAUUUUAUGAAAUUAAAUGAAUAAAAAUAAAAAAAAAGGAUCGGACGAUAAGCACCUCCACGAAAUCUCCCUCGGGUAACAACGACCGGCACUCAUCUCUGUCUCUCCGGUAAGGAGAAAUCAAACUUGCUAUACAAAUGACGCCAACGUCAGCAAACAGCUUUGCCACCUCACCUGAAGUUCAAUAUCAUUCCUUCAACCAUGAUCAAUUAGUUAUUGAUAAUUUUUGGAAACAAAAAAAGAAAAAUGAUUGUACCGAUCCUGCGUAUGUUUUCGGUACGAUCCUCAGCUUUGAAAGUGAGGUCCCGGUUAAGACCAUGACGUACAUUGUCUCCGUCAAGUGUGUAAGUAAGUUUGCCUCUUUCGAACAGAGCUUUACUUAAGGCACAAGCAACAGUGCUUUUCCCUGAGCCGCUGAGACCAGUGAUCCAAAUGACACAACCCUUCUGUUGAAGAAGUUGUUGUCGGUCGCAUCUGCAAAUGGAACUCUCGUGCCACACGAUGUUCUCUGGCUUAUUUUUGUCUCCGUUGAUUCUCUCUUCUUUCACAUUCGUCUCUACCAAGAAAAACAGAACAACAAUUGUGACAUUUUCAGACAAAACAUCUUAGGUUUAGCAAUUUGAGGAGAGUCUUUAAAGUGAAAGAAUACCUGAAAGGGCGGGAAAAUCGGCGGUGAGGGAAGCUUGAGCAGAGACAUUAACGGCGGAGAUCGGAUGUAAAGAAGCAGACUUCGCGACUAGUUUUGGCUUAUCUGCAGCAUAUGAUGACGUUGGGAGCCUGAGGAAACCGUCACUUAGAGGCAGUCGCUGAGAACCGACGUCGAGACCUGGAAGAGAGCAGAUGAUGGACGGUCGCGAUGCUCUGAUUGCUAAUCCUUCCAUUUGAACUUUUUAUUACUGAAACUUGCAGAUCCCAGACGGUGUUGGGGUUAACAGUUUCUGUAGUUCUGACAAAAUCAAUGUACGAAACAAAUCUGCUUAUAUAAAUUAUAUACAAGAAAGAUGGAUUAUUUGAAAAAAAUAUAUAGAGGGAGAAGUAGAGUUAAAGAGGAACGGGCAAAGGAAGAAAACUGGUGAGGAGAUUAGUGGUACCAACAAUAAAUUCGUCCACAAUAAACACAUGGACAUAUUCCAUCAUAAGAAAAUGAAAAAAAUAAUAUUCAGUAUUAGAACUAAUUAAUUUACAAAUUAGUUUAAAAAAAAUACUCUAUCUGUUCCUAAAAAUAUGAUGUUUUACAGAAUUGAUGUUCCAUUUAUUAAUACACAUUAUACAACUUAAUCGAUAACAUUAAUCAAAAUACAGCUCUUAAUUAACUAACUAAUUGCUAUUAGAAAUAUAAAUAAUAUUUGUUGUCCCUUUCUCUCGGUCCGAGGUAAACAUAGAUGCAAUUCAAGAACAAAUGAUAGUAUGACGAAGAAAGACGUACGACGUUGUAUCAAGUCUCAAGCUUCUAAGGGAACCAGCCAUUUAACCAUUUAUAAAACCUAAUUAAAUUCAACAAAUUGCGGGGUUUUUUUUUUGUCUUUGAUUUUUUAGAGUUGACUUAUCCCUCAAGGUACCCUUUGUUUUGCAAGUAGGAGAUGAUAUGUUCAGCCAUCUGACGUGGUGAACAAGAAUCGUCAUCUCCCGUGUGUUUCAGAACAACCUG